GGAGUUGUGGCUCAGCGGUACAGUGCUCACCUAGCAUAAGCGAGGCACAGGGUUCAAUCCUCAGCACCA
rnacentral:tRNA from 1 species